CCCUUAGAUGUCCGGGGCCGCACGCGCGCUACACUGAAGGAAUCAGCGUGGCUUUCUCCCUGACCCGAAAGGGUUGGGAAACCCGUUGAAUCUCCUUCGUGAUAGGGAUUGGGGCUUGGAAUUGUUCCCCAUGAACGAGGAAUUCCCAGUAAGCGCGAGUCAUAAGCUCGCGUUGAUUACGUCCCUGCCCUUUGUACACACCGCCCGUCGCUACUACCGAUUGAACGGUUUAGUGAGGGCCUCGGAUUGGUCUCGGCCCGCUCUUUACCGGGCGGCGCCGUUGGUCGAGAAGACGCUCGAACUUGAUCGUUUAGAGGAAGUAAAAGUCGUAACA
rnacentral:rRNA from 1 species